GUCACCGAUGCCUCACUGGCAGGUUUCCACAGUGUCAGGCACAUUUCAGUGCAAUAAAUAACCAACAACAACUAAUAUUCUGAGUCAGCACAUACAUUUAGAUCUAUAUCGAUAUAUUCUGAUCUAUAUCUGAUCUGAUGAGCGCGUUUGGCACGCGUUCGGACACUCAACCUGACCGAAUUAACACAGCUGAAACAGCAUUAAAUUAAAUUAAAUAUCUAGUAAAUAGACACACAUGAUGAAGUUAACGAUAUGAAAUUCCAAAUUUAUUUUAUAUGCCAACAUCUAUGAAAGAAAGAGCCAGGCCACGGAGCGCAAUGCGUCAUUACGCACAGAUGGUUCUGAUUUCAAUGCCAUUAUUGGAAUUUAUGAUGUGAUCUCUGCGCACAACCCACCUUUGUCACGUGAGGUUUGAAUAUGUGCAACUUUAUGUGAGUGUCUUUAUUUGUGGAAAAGGGUGUUUGUCGUACUAGUGGGUCCAACAUUACACACACCAAAUACAUCUGAGCUCAUAUGAGAGAGUGGAGGACGCCCCCUGCAGCGUUUACAGCGACACUUGUUGAGGAGUUGCCUUCUGUCGCCAUUGUGUGGCAUUACUGUCUUCAGAUGUCUCUUGAUUUCUUUGACUACUUCACGAAAAUAGUAAUACGCCUCGCCGGUGGCGGAUUUAAAGGCGAGGAUAGGGGGUUAUGUUUUUGGUCAAUACAGGUCUCGGCUGUGUUAAACCCACUCCACGCCUUCUCUCUUCCCUCGCUAUGACUUACGCCGCUGGGAGGAGCUGAGUGAGGGAGAGGGGAUACUUACGCCGGGCUGCGGCACUCACCAAAAUACCAAAUUGUGCUUGGAAACGCCUUGUCAGCACGGCAGACCUGACUUACGCCACACCUGCACCACGUCUCUGGCGAAGCACGAAAAUAGAGCUCUGUGUCUGGACAGAGUGACAUUUCCUGAGACUGGCUCAAACAGGAGGAGGCUGCAGAGGUGGGACAGUGGCUGUAAAGGGUUUUGAUGAAAUGCAUAAGUCCUUGCAAAAUCUGUCAGUUUUUGCAUAAAUCUAACAUCACACACACACACACACACACACGCACGCACACACACACACACACACUCUACACCGUAAUUCAUAUUAAACACGUGCGUCAUCAUUUAACCUCUGAAUGACUUCAUUAACCUUUUAUAAGAGUUGCCAUCUUCCCUCUGAAAACUGUGUCCAUAAUAAGACUCAGGCACACUGCUGGUAUACCCCAAAACUCUGAAUUUAAUGUUCUGAGCAAAACAGUACAAUGAAAUGAAGAACCUUUGAGCUGUAACCAUGAGUCAUACAGAAGCAGGGAUCAUAUAAGGGAACAGGAAUGGUGGACUUUUUUAUAAAUGUCAUGGUAUUAGAACCCUUAACACAUCGAAUGUUGGAGGUAAUGGGGGUUAUAAUGGUCUGUAACACAGUAAUGUUAUGUGUUUCUGUUGCUAAGUUAGUACAGUGUACAGUGUUGGCCUGGCAGGAGAUCAGCAAAGAGAUGGGGAUACCUGUCAAGUAGUAAAAUAAUAUGUAUCAUGUAUUUUGAUUUUCAUGCAAUUGGUUGCAUGGCAAAGCUAGCCAGCAUCUCUUAAAGUUAGCACAACUAUUGCUAGCCAGUUAUAAACGUCCUGACUCUGGGUGUUGAUCAAAGACUGUAUAUAAAAUGGACGCCGUCUGCCUCCUCACUGGGUAAAGCAACCCAGAGAACAGCACCCUCCGGUGACAGGCUGCAGUAUAGGUCAUAAAUCCUGCCUCCUUUAGCCACCCCUAUGGAGAUGUGGACAAACUUUAGAAAUUAAUUACACAGAAUAUAAUUUUUUCUCCCCCCUUGUUGUGGUGUUGACAUGUAGUUACUGUAAGACUAGUUUGUGCUCAAUUCCUCUUUUUUCUGUGAAGCUCAAUUUUUCAAGGUUAUUAGGGGGUUCAUAUUUUCUAUGAUUGACACUUGAUACAGCCCAUGGGCGUAUGAAGAUUGCGUAGCUCACCCUGGGUAUACGCUGUUUGAGCCGAGUGUCAUCACAGUGACCUUGGAGACUCUCCUGCCGAAUGCAUAUAACGCUUCUUCGCAAGUGGUGGAGUGCAUACAACACUAUUGCGCAAUGUUGGUUUCAGAGUGGAGAGAAAACACAGAAUUACCAAGAGCUUUUUGGUUUCAAAUCCGUAUACUGGCAGAAGGCAGAACCAAGUUGUCCAUAGUAUAUACAGUCUAUGGAGUUGAUUCACUGCUUUUUACCAGAGGAAACCCGCCAAUGUAACUGGAAGGGACUGAGGGGGACAUACCUCCAAGUGAGAGAAAAGGAGUGUGACAGGAGGUGAGUAAGUAAUGAAGUGGUUUUACACGAUGUAAUUCGCUGUCAUAGGACAGAGGAGGGCCUGGAAGUACAGAGGGCAGGAGGGGAAAAUAGAGGUCCUGCUCCUGGAGACCCUCAGAGGACAGCAGCAGCAAGCCCCCUUAAAGUUGUUUUCUUUUUAUUCCAGUGUAUAAUCAUAAGGUUGUUAUUAAUGAAGAUAUUUGAUGAGCUAAUUUUAAACUGCAACAAUGCAGGAGCUUGGCUCAAUAGUGGGAGUGUUUGGUUCUCUAAAGGGCCAUAUUGAGCUUGUGCAUCACCUGCCCUCGAGCUACUUUCUUCUGCAGAAAAGAAGGAUGUGAAGGUCUCCCUCAGCCUACAGGCCUCCCUUGCUGAGUUAUUAGCAGUGAAUACAGCAAUAUAUGACUCCUCUGUCAUGGGCGCAGCCAUACAGUUGUCCAUAAGGCAGUCCCAGAUAGCAGAGAUAACAUCUGUGAUGAUGCUUGCCACAGUGGAAACCCCAACAUGGAAGCUGUUUGUGAUGCUUCUACAGGAAUCACCAGGAAACUUGGUCAAAUGAGUUGAUAAAUAGAAUUCCACAGUCCUUUUCAUAUAUCUGCAUAAAAUAAACCCAGCAGUAGUUUCAGAGUAGCUUGAAGGACCUAACAACACUGUAUGAUGUCAGUCUUUUACAGCAUUGAGGAACACAGUUGAGUAGUUUUCUGGCUUUAACCUGGGUAAUGGCUGAGUCCCUGUUCUUUCUCUGUAGCUCCACAUAUUCUAUCAUCAGAGUCCACUGUUGGGCAUAUAUGUACAACAAUGGACUUUUGAACAGGUAUGUGACAUCAAACAGAUGGGAGUCCAGACUCAGAAUUAAAAAAUAAUAAUAAUAAUAGUGUAGUCUUAUUCUUGACACCGUUUUCAUUGGAGUGCUGUUUUGGCUAAACUUCACAACUUUGAUGUUGUCUUAAGUGUGUUAGAGCAUAAAACUGAGAUUUUGUGUUGAAGAUUUUGGUUAGCAGUUAUGUUUUCCUCUCUGUUGUUCUGUUACUUAAUCAAGCAAAAAGAUAAAUCAACACCUCUGAACAAAUUGAAACAACAUUAAGAUGUCUCUUCAUUCAUCCAGAGGAUUUCCCCCCUGAGGCUGGAUUUGUUAGUUUCCAGUUAUUAAUCUCUGUUCAGUAAACAUAAUGAAAGGAAAAUGAGUGUAACAGCUCUCAGUCAGGCUUUGUAAACCAAUGAUCCUUUCAUUUAGACAUUCAUUCAUUUACUAAUGAAUGAAUGAAAUGUUCAUUUACUUCAUUCAUUGGUAUUUCCCUUAUCUUAAAUGUCCAGGUAACAGGUUAUAAAAGGGGUGUGCAUGCGUGCGUGCGUGCGUGCGUGGAUGGAUGGAUGGAUGGAUGGAUGGAUGGAUAGAUAGAUAGAUAGAUAGAUAGAUAGAUAGAUAGAUAGAUAGAUGCUGUAACUUGUUUGUGAUUUAGAGUAAAAGCUGGAAGGUGUUUUCAGAUCAGUCUGAUCACAUCAGUAUGUGUGGCUCUGUGUGUAAAACAAAAAAAAAAAUGGGUCCUGUUGGAGGUCACUGUAAUCAUGUAAAUUUUAAUGAACGGUUCACAUGCUUUGAUCACCAGUUCAUAUCCCUGUAUUCUCAUCAGGGGUUAUAUGAAUAAAAGCAGGUGCACACUGGUGGCUGUGUAUCAGCAUGCAAUUCAUUUAUCUAUACACAUUUUCUUUCUCGACAUACUGAUCGAUGAUGGGUGUGAAAUGAUGGUUCUUUGGUCAACUGCAGCCCAGGGGAUAUUAGUGGGCGUAAAAUCAGAGGACAGUAGGCUGUAAAUAUUAAUGCACAUUUUUUUCUGCAGGAUCACAGAGCCACUCUGCCUCAGUGUGUCCAAUAUGGAUCCAUUUAUUAAUGUCUAUGAUCGAUGGCACUGCUGGUAAUGCAUACACAUUAUGAUAAAUCUAGCUCUUGAUUGCAUGUGGGAGCUUGUGUUUAUGUGAACACAUGUGCAGCAGCAGAAAGAGUCUCAAGAUGUACCAAAAGACUUUUACAGACUUUUAUUGUAGAUGCACAAAAAAUUACAACUAUUUCACCCCUGGUAAUGAUCAUUUAUGACAAGGCAGAAACUGAGAGAGAGCCAGAUGAUCCAGAUGAUGAGAGAGCUAUAGGGAAACAACAACAUGUGUGGAGAGCUUUACUGUUGAGUAAAAGCUGCAAAGGGAGAGCCAGAGGCUGUUUUAUUUGGAGAGUUUACACAGUGAGUUACAGGCGCAAGAGGGAGAGACGGUAUCAGAGUGAGGCUUAAAAUGACAUCCAGCAGAGUGUGAGGCACAUACAGAGCAUCCACAAGCACCAGACCAUCAACUCAGCUCAGCUUCAUUGUCAGUCAUCUGAACAGGUCCUGAAAAGCAGCUGAGCCAAAUUGCUUUUCUCACAGAUCUGUAGCCAAGUGAUGCAAAGACAACUAACAGACGAUAAAUAAAAGUAACAAUAACAUAACCUGUAUGAUUCAUACAGCUGUCGGAAAUUCAGCUGUAGGAAAUAGUGUUGAGUAAAAGUUCAGGCUAGUUGUAAAGAUCCUUCAACUCAAAAAAGUCCUGCUAAGCAAUCUUAAGAUUGUUUUAAAAAGUUACAGGUUUUGUGAUGAAUAUCUUGUUUUAAGACUGCUAUGGUAAACCAUUGUUUAAGAGUUACAAACACACCACAGAUCUUUCUCAAAUCUGUCUUUCUUGUCUAAGAGCCUGUUUGACGUUACAUCUCAAAAAUGUAAAAGUACUCAACAUCUAAUGAUCUUUUUGAGCUGCUGCACUCUUCAUUUAGCAUAAAGCACUGACUGAGGUUGCAAGUGACUUGUUGUUAGAUGUUGACUUGGACUAGACUUCUGCUAUGUUGUUUUUGGAUCUUCUUGCUGCCUUUGGUCCAGUGGAUCACUGGGUAUUAUUGAAUACACUUGAAAAAACUUCAGAAACAUCUCCACAAUCAUCUCUAAGAUCAAAUCUGUUCAUCGUUUGUCAUUGUCUCAUUGUCCAGUCUUAGCGCUGAUCUGAGUCAAGAGGCUGAGUAGUGUCACGCUAGCGCUGCUAAUCUUGCUACCAUAAGGGCAAGAAAAGCUGCGCUUUAACAACACAGCCAGGUGUUGAUAGGAUGGCACCUGGCAUGGGAUCACAGUUCAAAAAUGUAACAUCAAACAUGUUAAACUGCCCCUCUAGUCUGUUUUCACAUUGAAUGACCACAUUUUUCCCAUUAGCCUUAUAAUUGCAGUCUUAAAAUGUAAUAGCUACUUAUAGCAACUAUAAGUAUAUCUAAGACAAUAAUGGCCUUAUUUUACUUGUUUUUAUCUACUGUACACCUGCACAUGAAACAGACCCUAAAAUUUUGAAAUACCAACUAACAUAAACACAAAUCAUUGGUAAAACCACUCUCUGUCAUGAUGUGUCUGCCAUCCUCAUGACUGAUGCUGAGACUCCAGUGACUAUCCCUCAGUGCUGAGACCCCCAUCUGUCAUGCCCCCAACAGAAGUUAGAUCCCACAUUUUCAUUUUACCUUGUAUAACAAACCAAAUGUUCAAUUUCCUUUGUACAUAUAUUCAAGUACAGGUAACUCUUCCGCAUUGUCUCCUCCACUGUGCCACUGUAUAAAUGAGGUGAAGUUGGAGAUCAUAGGCUGUUUAUUAUGUUAUUUGUUACAAUACAAUACAUGACGAGUAUAAGUAUCAUUAUUAUUAUUAUGAUUAUUAUUGUUAUUAUGAUGAUGAUGAUGAUGAUGAUUAUGAUGAUUAUUAUUAUUAUUAUUAUUAUUAUUAUUAUUAGUAGUAGUAGUAGUAGUAGUAGUAGUAGUAGUAGUAGUAGUAGUAGUAGUAGUAGUAGUAGUAUCAUCAUUAUUAUUAUUAUCAUUAUUAUUAUUAUCUUUCCCAGUGUGUCAAACGCAUUUUUCCUCACUUAGUCAUCCCUUUGGGAAUCACAGCCUUUGCAACCCAUUUAUAUGCAAAACAGGCUUCCUGCACCGCAGUUUACACAAUUAUCAGAUGAUCUCCUGCUGACAGAAGAGGAACAAAACCUGUCACCUUCUGACUCCCUCUGGAAGUAAUUAUCACAACUGAUAAGCUAGGUAUGACGCCAACCUGAGUUUCUGUCGAAGCAACCAUGUAGCUUUUCUCUUUCUUUGCUAAGUCCUUAACACAUCUAUCCAGAAAAUUAUGUAGACAGCGAGGUCAGCGGACUGGGCAUUCAAAUCAAUAGAGGUGAAAUACAGCCGCUUUAAACUGGGAACACAAAGGGAAUGAUAAUGGCACAACAGUCAAUACAGAGGUGCUGAUAAAUGAGAUAACGGAUAACGGCUUAUGGGGUAUGUGCACAUAAAUUACUCACAGAGUGUCAGUGCCCCACAGUUUUAGCUCUUAGCAGGUCUAGACUGAUCUCAGCUAAUGUAUUUUGCUGACUGGAAACUUCUAGUCUCCUUCCUUUCAUUGAUGAGUGAUCAUUUUUAACAUUCAUUACAGAUUUCCAUAGAGCUCCUGGGACUUUCUGCAAAUGCUGCAUUCAUAAAUAUGAGGAAUGUUGAAGCAAUGACUAAAGAGAGUCCAUCCUAAUAUCUGAUGUUAUUUCGUACUGCAGAGAUCAUGACAGCAUUUAAAUCUCUGCUGAUAAACUUCAAAGCUGGAUCAGAACUUGAUUCAGUCUUUUCAUGCCUAAUCAUAUUUGUUUGCGCUAAUAAAUGGAACUUAUUGAAUAUUGGGGUAGUAGUAAUGCUACUACACUGAUAGAGGUGUACAGAGUUAAAAUGAAGUUGACCUUAAUGAGUCUUCGUGACUUCAGUAAUGAAUCAGUUCAUACAGGAACAGUUUUAUUGCUGUUAGGCCAAUUUUAGUGAGAGCAAACAGUCUCACUUGAAUCCACUUAAAUCCAUCAUUGAAUUCAAAGACCAGUUAAAAUAGUAAGACUUCCAAAGGAUCAUGUCUGUCAGUAUCUGUCAAGUUGAUUUAUUAUUUCCCUUAUUAUUCCCUAUUAUUUCCCAAGUUGAUAUAUCUAUUUGUUUUAUUUUUUAACCCUUGUCUAUCUUCUCUUUCCAUUCUUGUUGUGCUGCCACCCUCACCGUUGAUCACCGGUUCCCUCCAAAAUGUCUUGAAAUUCUUUAUUGGGAAUAACCACUUGAGAUGAACCAUCUCGUUUUCGAGGGGAUCCUCAAAUACAGAUACGUAGAAAUACAUAUCCAUGGAAAACAAAACAAAGCCAACAAUAACAAAACAAAAUUAACAAAGCAAUAACAAAUAAAUGACAAAUGUGUUGCACCUGUGUCUUGUUAGCCUCACUCCCCUUUCCUUCUUAAGCCCUGGUGUUAGUUCUCUGCCAGAUUAUCGCUAUCUUCCUAGUUCAUACAUACAGCUUUUUCUCUUGUUUGUACUCCUCAUGUUUUGACCCAUUUACCUGAUCUUGUUUUCAGAUUUUUGCUUGCCGGACUUUGUACCUCUGCUCUCACGAACUGACUCUCUGUGUACCAAACUUGUUUCUGGAUGAAAGACUCUUGUGAACACUUAAGGCUCUAUUUUCGUUCGCGCCGGUGAGGCGGCGGAGGGCGGCGAGCCCCACGCAGUUGUAUUUUCGUCUGGCGGAGCCCGGUGUAAGGCGAGUUUGGUAUUUUCGUGGACUGAGUCGCACGGAGGCGAGCCGAGAUCCGCCAAGCUGGGCGUGGUGGCGUGGCAGGGGGAGGUGUUGACAGAAUCAGCUGGCGCAGUGACAUUUUCGUGCUCGCCACCGGCGUGUAACGUGCGCUGAAAGCUCGCCGAUUCAAACCUGGUCAGCUUUCAGCGCAAGGCGGAACGCAGCUGGUCUAGUAGUAUUUUGGUAGACCGGCGGCGUAUCGACAUACGUCACUGAUGCCUCACCGGCAGGUUUCCACAGUGUCAGGCACAUUUCAGUGCAAUAAAUAAUCAUCAACAACUAUUAAUCUGAGUCAGCACAUACAUUUAGAUCUAUAUCGAUAUAUUCUGAUCUAUAUCUGAUCUGAUGAGCGCGUUUGGCACGCGUUUGGGCACACAACCUGACCGAAUCAAUACAGCUGAAACUGCAUCAAAUUAAAUUAAAUAUCUAGUAAAUAAACACACAUGAUGAAGUUAACAAGAUAUGUAAUGUGUCUCCCUCCUUUUCUUUCU